rnacentral:misc_RNA from 1 species
GGUUGGAUCAUUAUCACGUUUUAUUACGUUUUAUUCUAUCUACCAACGCGAAAACUUAUCUUAUUUAAAUUAAUUCAUUUUCUCUCUUUACUGAAAGAAUUUAAAUUGAUUUAUUUACCAUCAAAACCUUUUUUAUUUUACUAAACUGAAAUUGUUUCAUUCUCUUUAAUUAGAGAAGAAAUUUAAAAUUAUUACGAAACAUAAGAAACAACUCUUAGCAACGGAUAUCUUGGUUCUCGUAACGAUGAAGAACGCAGCGAAAUGCGAUACGUAAUGCGAAUUGCAGAAUUCAGUGAAUCAUCAAAUUUUUGAACGCAAAUUGCGCUUUCUGGAUAGGCCAGGGAGCAUGCCUCUUUGAGUAUCGUUUCUAACAUUCUCUUUUGACUUUUUUGAAAUUUAUUUCAUUAAUUUCAAUGGGAAAAUGAGUUGUCUCAUUUUUAUUAAUUUAAAUGAGUCACUUUAAGAAGCGCGAGAAUUUUUUUACCUAUUAAACCGUUUUUCUUCUUCAUUGAAGAACGAAUAGAAAGAAAGAAGUUGAUGUUGAUAAUAUUAAAUUUAUUUUUAAACUUUUUACACCGACUUCGUUUGUAUCUUACUAUUUGUUUAAUUAACUGAAAAAUUCAUAUUUCUCGAUUGGAAAAUUUUCGGAUAUUAAAUUUCUUUAUUGAAGUUUAACGAUGAAAUAAAUUUUUUGAAUUAGAUCUCAAAUGAAGCAAGAUUACCCGCUGAACUUAAGCAUAUUAUUAAGCGGAGGAAAAGAAACUAACAAGGAUGCCCUCAGUAACGGCGAGUGAAGCGGCAAAGCUCAACCUGAAAAUCGGAUUCCCUAACAGGAUUUCGAAUUGUGGGCUAUAGACGCGUGAUCAGUGUGUGACCUGAACAUAAAUCUCUUUGAAACGAGGUAUCAUAGAGGGUGAGAAUCCCGUCUGUGGUUCGGAGUAUCGCCGCGUACGAUUCGCGUUCACAGAGUCGCGUUGUUUGGGAUUGCAGCGCUAAAUGGGUGGUAAAUUUCAUCUAAAGCUAAAUAUCGACGAGAGACCGAUAGCGAACAAGUACCGUGAGGGAAAGAUGAAAAGAACUUUGAAAAGAGAGUUAAAAAGUACUUGAAAUUGCUAAGAAGGAAGCACUGGAAACCAGUGAAAUUUAAUCGCUUGUAUAUUUACCAUUCACUGCUGGAAAUUGAUUUUUCAUCGGAGCCCAAAAGCCCGUGUUGGAUUAAUUGAAAAUGUGAAUGUUCCCUGUACUGUGAUUAAAGUCAGAUCAAUUUGGUCCGCUGAGAGAAAGCUAUCAUAACGGUAGGACCGCAGGGGGCAACUCUAAGGUCUGUUUAGUAUGGUAGUGCUAUCAUGGGCUAGAUUGAGGGACAAUUGAAACGCGCACCACUAGGUUUUCGGUUCCCAAACCCUAAUUGGCUGCAGUGACGUGGACAACAAAGUUGUGCUGUUACUGUUGUUGGUUACUGGAAUGGAUGAACUAGAAGCAGCGUUGGAGAUUCUGACGAAAUGGUUUUCAUUGACCCGUCUUGAAACACGGACCAAGGAGUCUAACAUAUAUGCGAGUAUUUGGGCCUGGAAACCCUUAUGCGCAAUGAAAGUGAAGAAAGCCUAGCUUUUGAGGUACGAACCUGCAGUUUCGACUCGUAGGGGCAGUAUCGACCGAUCGUCACUUGUGGAAGAUUUGAGUAUGAGCAUAUCUGUUGGGACCCGAAAGAUGGUGAUCUAUGCCUGAACAGGGCGAAGCCAGGGGAAACUCUGGUGGAGGCUCGUAGCGAUACUGACGUGCAAAUCGUUCGUCUGAUUUGGGUAUAGGGGCGAAAGACUAAUCGAACCAUCUAGUAGCUGGUUCCCUC